rnacentral:rRNA from 1 species
AGAAUCAACGCUGGCGGCGUGCCUAACACAUGCAAGUCGAACGAGAAAGUGGAGCAAUCCAUGAGUAAAGUGGCGCACGGGUGAGUAACACGUGACUAACCUACCCUUGAGUGGGGGAUAACCUAGAGAAAUCUGGGCUAAUACCGCAUAAUACCUUCGGGUCAAAGGAGCAAUUCGCUUAAGGAGGGGUCGCGGCCGAUUAGUUAGUUGGCGGGGUAAUGGCCCACCAAGACUAUGAUCGGUAUCCGGCCUGAGAGGGCGCACGGACACACUGGAGCUGAAACACGGUCCAGACUCCUACGGGAGGCAGCAGUGGGGAAUUUUGCGCAAUGGGGGAAACCCUGACGCAGCAACGCCGCGUGGAGGAUGAAGUCCCUUGGGACGUAAACUCCUUUCGAUCGGGACGAUAAUGACGGUACCGAGAGAAGAAGCCCCGGCUAACUUCGUGCCAGCAGCCGC